rnacentral:rRNA from 2 species
GCUCAAAUUUGAAAUCUGGCCCUCGGGUCCGAGUUGUAAUUUGUAGAGGAUGCUUUUGGCGCGGUGCCUUCCGAGUUCCCUGGAACGGGACGCCUUAGAGGGUGAGAGCCCCGUACGGUUGGACACCAAGCCUCUGUAAAGCUCCUUCGACGAGUCGAGUAGUUUGGGAAUGCUGCUCUAAAUGGGAGGUAAAUUUCUUCUAAAGCUAAAUAUUGGCCAGAGACCGAUAGCGCACAAGUAGAGUGAUCGAAAGAUGAAAAGCACUUUGAAAAGAGGGUUAAAUAGCACGUGAAAUUGUUGAAAGGGAAGCGUUUGCGACCAGACCUCUCCCCGGCGGAUCAUCCGGCGUUCUCGCCGGUGCACUCCGCCGGGCUGAGGCCAGCAUCGGUUCCCGCGGGGGGACAAAAGCGGGGGGAACGUAGCUCCCUCGGGAGUGUUAUAGCCCUCCGCAUAAUACC